AUUGAACGCUGGCGGCAGGCCUAACACCUGCAAGUCGAGCGAGCGGCGGACGGGUGAGUAAUGUCUGGGAAACUGCCUGAUGGAGGGGGAUAACUACUGGAAACGGUAGCUAAUACCGCAUACCAUCAGAUGUGCCCAGAUGGGAUUAGCUCGUAGGUGGGGUAAUGGCUCACCUAGGCGACGAUCCCUAGCUGGUCUGAGAGGAUGACCAGCCAGACUGGAACUGAGACACGGUCCAGACUGAUACGGGAGGCAGCAGUGGGGAAUAUUGCAAAAGGGGAGCAAGCCUGAUGCAGCCAUGCCGCGUGUGUGAAGAAGGCCAUCGGGUUGUAAAGCACUUUCAGCGGGGAGGCGUUACCCGCAGAAGAAGCACCGGCUAACUCCGGGCCAGCCGCCGCGGUAAUUC
rnacentral:rRNA from 1 species